rnacentral:rRNA from 1 species
UUAAGCAUAUCAAUAAGCGGAGGAAAAGAAACCAACAGGGAUUGCCCCAGUAACGGCGAGUGAAGCGGCAACAGCUCAAAUUUGAAAUCCGGCCCCCCCGCGGGGGCCCGAGUUGUAAUUUGCAGAGGGUGCUUUCGGCGCGGCGCCGUCCGAGUUCCCUGGAACGGGACGCCACAGAGGGUGAGAGCCCCGUCCGGUCGGACGCCCAGCCACUGUAAAGCCCCUUCGACGAGUCGAGUAGUUUGGGAAUGCUGCUCAAAACGGGAGGUAUAUGUCUUCUAAAGCUAAAUACCGGCCAGAGACCGAUAGCGCACAAGUAGAGUGAUCGAAAGAUGAAAAGCACUUUGAAAAGAGGGUUAAACAGUACGUGAAAUUGUUGAAAGGGAAGCGCUCGCGACCAGACGCGGGCCCGCGGUCGGCGUCGGCGUUCUCGCCGGCGCGCUCCGCGGGCCCGGGCCAGCAUCAGUCCGCCGCGGGGGACAAAGGCGCCGGGAACGUGGCUCCCCACGGGGAGUGUUAUAGCCCGGCGCGCAAUGCCCUGCGCGCGGACUGAGGCACGCGCUCCGCAAGGAUGCUGGCGUAAUGGUCACCAGCGACCCGUCUUGAAACACGGACCAAGGAGUCGUCCUCGUAUGCGAGUGUUCGGGUGUCAAACCCCUACGCGCAAUGAAAGUGAACGCAGGUGAGAGCCUCGGCGCAUCAUCGACCGAUCCUGAUGUUCUCGGAUGGAUUUGAGUAGGAGCAUACGGGGCCGGACCCGAAAGAAGGUGAACUAUGCCUGCGUAGGGUGAAGCCAGAGGAAACUCUGGUGGAGGCUCGCAGCGGUUCUGACGUGCAAAUCGAUCGUCAAACGUGGGCAUGGGGGCGAAAGACUAAUCGAACCUUCUAGUAGCUGGUUUCCGC